AUGAACGCUAGCGACAGGCUUAACACAUGCAAGUCGAGGGGCAGCACAGGUAGCAAUACCGGGUGGCGACCGGCGCACGGGUGAGUAACGCGUAUGCAACUUGCCUAUCAGAGGGGGAUAACCCGGCGAAAGUCGGACUAAUACCGCAUGAAGCAGGGGCCCCGCAUGGGGAUAUUUGCUAAAGAUUCAUCGCUGAUAGAUAGGCAUGCGUUCCAUUAGGCAGUUGGCGGGGUAACGGCCCACCAAACCGACGAUGGAUAGGGGUUCUGAGAGGAAGGUCCCCCACAUUGGUACUGAGACACGGACCAAACUCCUACGGGAGGCAGCAGUGAGGAAUAUUGGUCAAUGGCCGAGAGGCUGAACCAGCCAAGUCGCGUGAGGGAUGAAGGUUCUAUGGAUCGUAAACCUCUUUUAUAAGGGAAUAAAGUGCGGGACGUGUCCCGUUUUGUAUGUACCUUAUGAAUAAGGAUCGGCUAACUCCGUGCCAGCAGCCGCGGUAAUACGGAGGAUCCGAGCGUUAUCCGGAUUUAUUGGGUUUAAAGGGUGCGUAGGCGGCCUUUUAAGUCAGCGGUGAAAGUCUGUGGCUCAACCAUAGAAUUGCCGUUGAAACUGGGGGGCUUGAGUAUGUUUGAGGCAGGCGGAAUGCGUGGUGUAGCGGUGAAAUGCAUAGAUAUCACGCAGAACCCCGAUUGCGAAGGCAGCCUGCCAAGCCAUUACUGACGCUGAUGCACGAAAGCGUGGGGAUCAAACAGGAUUAGAUACCCUGGUAGUCCACGCAGUAAACGAUGAUCACUAGCUGUUUGCGAUACACUGUAAGCGGCACAGCGAAAGCGUUAAGUGAUCCACCUGGGGAGUACGCCGGCAACGGUGAAACUCAAAGGAAUUGACGGGGGCCCGCACAAGCGGAGGAACAUGUGGUUUAAUUCGAUGAUACGCGAGGAACCUUACCCGGGUUUGAACGCAUUCGGACCGAGGUGGAAACACCUUUUCUAGCAAUAGCCGUUUGCGAGGUGCUGCAUGGUUGUCGUCAGCUCGUGCCGUGAGGUGUCGGCUUAAGUGCCAUAACGAGCGCAACCCUUGCCACUAGUUACUAACAGGUAAAGCUGAGGACUCUGGUGGGACUGCCAGCGUAAGCUGCGAGGAAGGCGGGGAUGACGUCAAAUCAGCACGGCCCUUACAUCCGGGGCGACACACGUGUUACAAUGGCGUGGACAAAGGGAAGCCACCUGGCGACAGGGAGCGAAUCCCCAAACCACGUCUCAGUUCGGAUCGGAGUCUGCAACCCGACUCCGUGAAGCUGGAUUCGCUAGUAAUCGCGCAUCAGCCAUGGCGCGGUGAAUACGUUCCCGGGCCUUGUACACACCGCCCGUCAAGCCAUGGGGGCCGGGGGUACCUGAAGUCCGUAACCGCGAGGAUCGGCCUAGGGUAAAACUGGUGACUGGGGCU
rnacentral:rRNA from 1 species